UAUUAUUUAAGAAAAUUUGAAAAUAAGUAAAAAAAAAUCUCUCUCUCCGAUACAUAGCUUCCAACUAUAAGAUGGAAAAGAAAUAAAUAAAGCUUCCAACGGUAAGAUGGAAAAAAAUAAAAUAAAAGGACACUACCUCUCUAACCUAUGAGCACCUUCAAUCUCUCUUAAGCUCUCUCUCACAGACCCCCCCUCAGGCUGAAAAGAAAAAAGAAACAAAGCAGAAGAAAUACUUUCUUCCUCUCCGCCGCACAUCACUUCCACCCACACAGCACAUCCACCACACCCCCUCUUCCUCUUCACACUAAAACCACCUCCAUCUUCCUCUCUAAAUCCAGCCGAAAAAUCAUUUCUUUCGCCUCCUAAAAACAAUCACCGCCGUUCACCACCGAAACAACCUCCACCAUGCACCUCCGUCCGGCGAACCAUCAUCCUCACUCCCUUUCCUCAACAACUCCCUCGCCGCUACAACCGCCGGCAAACCCAACCUACCACCAUCCCCCAUCGUCUUCACCACACUAACACCUCAUUCUCGCUUCCGUCAAAACAACCAACCGCGCCUCCGGCGGUUCUCCACCACUUCGUCAUCUGGAUUCAACACCUCCAACCUUCGUCUCUGUUGAAUUUCCAUCUGAUUUAGAAGGCUCGUUCAGCCAUCACUGUAUGUUGCGAUAGUGGCGGUGACGACGUUUCUUUUGUGACUUAAAAACUCUGAAAAAAGACCAGGUUUUGUAAAGGUAAGACAAUAACGACCACAACCUCGACUCAACCCGUGUUUCCGCAAAAACGGGAAUUUGCGCAACUUCGCCUCGUUUCUUUCCGUCGGGCUUCCAUAACCGACGAAACCAAACAACAAACCUUCCAGCUCUGCAACGACAACAAAUGACAGCAGUGACACAACUUCGGUAAAUAUCUCGAUUUCGUAUGCUUAAUGUGUUAUGAUUUUGAGAAUAAUUUUGUUAUUACAGUAAACUUUUAUCACUGGUUUGUGUUGAUUUCUCUUGUAUUACAACUGGUUGCAACUAUUAUAGUAAUAUGGAUAUUCUAAAAUUGAUUCUGUUUGGUAGUCGGUUUGAAUACGACUUUGGCCUAAUUAUUCUCUACUGUAUUACCAAAGUGUUGCUGUAACUAACUCUAGAAGGUUUUUGCUGUUAUGAUAAUUUGUGAGCGUUAUACAUAUUGAAUUGCAACUUAUAUUUGGCACAUCCAGUUGGUUUUCUGUUUGGCAAAGUGUUAUAUUGUUCUUAUGGGCAAGGCUUUUGUUUAUUGUUAUAUCUAACAGGUUUGUUGAUGUUAUUCUCGUUACGUCCUGUUAAUCGUAUCAUGUUGAUUCUGUGGGCAUAUUGAACUUCAUGAUGUGUUAUGUUGGGGUAAUUUAGUAUUGAUUACAAUGGAUUGGUUACAUGUUUACUGCUAUUAUUUGCUUUCUGCGGAAUUAAAAUGGUUUGGCAUCGCGUAGAACAGUUUAUGUCAUGUUUUCCGGGAUGUUAUGCUGUUUGUUAUAGCCAUAGUUUUGGUUUUGAUUCGGUUGCAAUAAUCUAUGUUGAUGGGUAUGUUGUAAUAUUCUUUUCCGGGGUAUUUUCGAUGUGAUCGUGUUGUUGUUGUUGUUGUGUGCUUAAGUUGUCGUGUUUAAAAUCGAAUAUCAUUCGCAGCUUCGACGUGUAAAUGUUUCGAUUAUAUUUCUAUUUCAAUUGCAUAUUUACUUCCUUUCCGAUUGGGUUAUACCGUUUUGGUAUUCGAUAUUAUAAUGUUGAAAAUACUGUUAUAAACAGGAACUUGUAUCAUAUUCUGGUU
rnacentral:lncRNA from 1 species